rnacentral:rRNA from 1 species
GACGAACGCUGGCGGCGUGCCUAACACAUGCAAGUCGAACGGAGUUAACUUUUCAGAUCCCUUCGGGGUGAAGAGUUGUUAACUUAGUGGCGGACGGGUGAGUAACGCGUGAGCAACCUGCCUUACAGAGGGGGGACAACAGUUGGAAACGACUGCUAAUACCGCAUAACGCGUAGAGGUCGCAUGGCCUUUACGCCAAAGAUUUAUCGCUGAAAGAUGGCCUCGCGUCUGAUUAGCUAGUUGGUGAGGUAACGGCCCACCAAGGCGACGAUCAGUAGCCGGACUGAGAGGUUGAACGGCCACAUUGGGACUGAGAUACGGCCCAGACUCCUACGGGAGGCAGCAGUGGGAAUAUUGGGCAAUGGGGGAAACCCUGACCCAGCAACGCCGCGUGAAGGAAGAAGGCCUUCGGGUUGUAAACUUCUUUUACCAGGGACGAAGAACGUGACGGUACCUGGAGAAAAAGCGACGGCUAACUACGUG